rnacentral:rRNA from 1 species
GAUGAACGCUGGCGGCGUGCUUAACACAUGCAAGUCGAACGAAGCAUUUGCGACAGCUCUUUUCGGAAUGAAGUUGCUUAUGACUGAGUGGCGGACGGGUGAGUAACGCGUGGGUAACCUGCCUUGUACUGGGGGAUAGCAGCUGGAAACGGCUGGUAAUACCGCAUAAGCGCACAAUGUUGCAUGACAUGGUGUGAAAAACUCCGGUGGUAUAAGAUGGACCCGCGUCUGAUUAGCUAGUUGGUGAGAUAACAGCCCACCAAGGCGACGAUCAGUAGCCGACCUGAGAGGGUGACCGGCCACAUUGGGACUGAGACACGGCCCAGACUCCUACGGGAGGCAGCAGUGGGGAAUAUUGCACAAUGGAGGAAACUCUGAUGCAGCGACGCCGCGUGAGUGAAGAAGUAAUUCGUGAUGUAAAGCUCUAUCAGCAGGGAAGAUAGUGACGGUACCUGACUAAGAAGCUCCGGCUAAAUACGUG